rnacentral:tRNA from 2 species
GGUGGGGUUCCCGAGUGGCCAAAGGGGGCAGACUGUAAAUCUGUUGCAACUUGCUUCGAAGGUUCGAAUCCUUCUCCCACCACCA